rnacentral:lncRNA from 1 species
UAUAUAGAGUGGGGUGCUCAUUUUCGCCACAUCUUUCCAUGUUUUCUACAGUUUAUAUUCAGGUCAAAAUGUUUUUGAAGUAUACUGAUAUUUCUAUAUGAAGAUAACUUCAAAUGCAAAAUAUACUUAAGCUUGAAAACCGGUUUGUUUUAAGAAAAUCAUCUGAAAAGUUAGAUUAAAGGGUGUUUGAAAUUUCCGGAUGUUUUGUCAAUGGGGGACACAUAUUCGCCGUUUUUACACAUCUAUUUAAAUAACCGCAGCUUUUAACAAUUUUUAUCAAAUCAAUUGCAUUAUAGAUGAAUAGCAGAUAUUUCAAAGGUACAAAGAAUUCAAAAUUAGGGUAUUCAGUCAAAUAUUUACUUAGAAAUACUUCUUUGAAAUCGUGUUUUUUAUUCAGGAA